AAUGGUAUAUAUAAGUUCGGCGUUCUUGUAUGGAAGUCAUUCAGUAUCGAGGUUGUCAUUUAGUCGAAAACACCAUUCUUUGUUUCCUCAAGCAAAUUAAAUACUUCAAUCAAAAUGUGCAAGAUAAUCAUUUUUUUCUUCUUCGUGGGAUUGGCAAUUACGAGCCAACGAUUUGUUAGCGCUGCUCCUACUGCUGGAGAACUACUUUCUAUUAAUCCAGUUCUACAAGGUAAUUUAAAUGGAUUCAACCAUUACAAUAUAUAUCGUGGCCAAAAUGUAUUCGGUGGACCAGUUGCAUACGGCAGUGGAGCAAAUAUAUUUGUUGGAGCCGCUGAUAAUAAUUGAACAUUGACCUUAACUCGGUCGUUUGGCAACACCACACUCUAUUUCUACUGAAACCACAAUAAUAAAUAAAACGAAUAAAUCAAUUCAAAAGCAAUAUUAAAAAA